GGGAGCUUGCUCCCUGGCGGCGAGUGGCGAACGGGUGAGUAAUGCAUGGGAACAUGCCCAAUGGUGGGGAAUAUCCUAAGGAAACUUAGGGUAAUUCCGCAUAAUCUCCACGGAGCAAAGCGGGGGAUCUUCGGACCUCGCGCCGAUGGAUUGGCCCAUGUCCGAUUAGUUUGUUGGUGGGGUAACGGCCUACCAAGACCGCGAUCGGUAGCUGGUUUUAGCGAAUGAUCAGCCACACCGGGACUGAGACACGGCCCGGACACCUACGGGUGGCAGCAGUGGGGAAUAUUUGACAAUGGGGGAAACCCUGAUCAAGCGAUGCCGCGUGAUUGAAGAAGGCCUUCGGGUUGUAAAGAUCUUUCAUUGAGGAGGAAAAAGCCGACCCUAACAGGAACGGCCCAUGACAUUACUCAAAGAAGAAGGACCGGCUAACUACGUGCCAGCAGCCGCGGUAAUACGUAGGGUCCGAGCGUUAAUCGGAAUUACUGGGCGUAAAGCGUGCGUAGGCGGCCGCCUAAGUCGGAUGUGAAAGCCCCGGGCUCAACCUGGGAACUGCGUUCGAUACUGGGCGGCUUGAGACCGACAGAGGAAAGUAGAAUUCUCGCAAGUAGUGGUGAAAUGCGUAGAUAUGCGGAGGAAUACUCGUGGCGAAGGCGGCUUUCUGGGCCGUGUCUGACGCUGUAGCACGAAAGCGUGGGUAGCAAACAGGAUUAGAUACCCUGGUAGUCCACGCCGUAAACGAUGUCUGCUAGUCGUUGGGAGGUUCGCCUCGCAGUGACGAAGCUAACGCGUGAAGCAGACCGCCUGGGGAGUACGAUCGCAAGAUUAAAACUCAAAGGAAUUGACGGGGACCCGCACAAGCGGUGGAUGAUGUUGAUUAAUUCGAUGCAACGCGAAAAACCUUACCUACCCUUGACAUGCUAUGGAAAGUCCGCGGAAACGCGGCCGUCUU
rnacentral:rRNA from 1 species